CUGGCCAUUGAGCUGCACUGACCUACGGCAGGGGAAAGAGGAGACUCAUUAGCACACACUUGCAUCUUGCAUUUCUUUGACAGGUGGUGUGGGUAUCCAAUGACCAGCGACCGGUAAUACCGAUUCACUUUCUAAAGCAUACUUGAAUGCACGUCACCUCUCUGCUGGCAAGCUACUUACAUGUAGAAUCAAGUGCAAGGGUUUAGGUUAAAAAGCUCUAGAUUCAGACACUGCCAGAGUACUGAUGCCUUUGGGUUCUGGGAAGUGCAGAACGACGUGUGAAAAGCAAACGCUCAACCAUCAUCAGUAGCUGCUCUGCAUCAGCCCCUUCGGCGUCUCCUCAUUGUGGGUUACAGAUAGAAUCAGGAGCCUGGAUAAGCCCCUGCACUGAAAUCUCCAACUUUAGGAGCUAGGUGUAUGCAGUGAGGAAUCGGCAUGUUUGCAAUUGUAUCAGUGGCGAAAGACAAGACCAUGGAUUGUGGACUGCUUUGGUGUGAAAGUUUUAUGUGUUAAUUGAAAUGGGAUUUGAUGUGUCAACUCAGAGUCAAGCCCUCUGCGCCCCAGUUCUCCAUGGGGCACCGUGACCCGGCUACUCCACCU